GGAGAAGUAGCUCAGCUUGGCAGAGCACUUGGUUUGGGACCAAGCGGUCGAAGGUUCAAAUCCUUUCUUCUUCACCA
rnacentral:tRNA from 2 species